rnacentral:rRNA from 1 species
AUUAGCUAGUUGGUAAGGUAACGGCUUACCAAGGCAACGAUGCGUAGCCGACCUGAGAGGGUGAUCGGCCACACUGGAACUGAGACACGGUCCAGACUCCUACGGGAGGCAGCAGUAGGGACUCUUCCGCAAUGGGCGAAAGCCUGACGGAGCAACGCCGCGUGAGUGAUGAAGGUCUUCGGAUCGUAAAACUCUGUUAUUAGGGAAGAA